GCAGCAUUUAGCUUAAGAUUAUGAUUAUUUGCAAAACUUCGAAUUUUUUUUAGGUCAUCAUUAAGAUUUUUCUGAAAAUGCUGCAAUAGAUCUUGAUUAAAUGAAAUGUACAGUUGGGAAUCAUCAGCAAACUGUUGCAUUUUGGAAUUUAUAACCUCUUUGUUCAUAUCUGCAACGUAUAAUGAAAACAAUAAUGGCCCUAAUAUCGACCCCUGUGGGACGCCCGUUGUCACCGGUAUGUAAUCAGAUUUAAUUUUGUUGGGCCCAUUAUAAAGAAGUGUACUCUGAACACGCCCGACUAGAUAAGAUUCAAAGAAUUUUACAGCUUCCUGAGAAAAACCAAAAUGGUGAAGAUGGCUACAAAUGGUUGUAGUGCUUUGCAAAAAACGUUUUUAACAGGGGUUCCCUAUAGUACAAUAUGCCUGUAAAAAAAGGGAUUAAAGACAGACUAAAAAGAAAAGAGGCAAGACAAUCAAAGGGACUUGAAACGGAUAUUGCCAAAUUGCUAAGGAAAGGUGUGUAUUCUACUAACAAAAACAAUGAGGUUCUGACCAUAGAGAUGAUUAAGGACACCUUAUCGGCAAGGGACAAACAUUUCUCAGUCUCAACCUUGCGGAGAUACCUGAUUAAACUUGGAUUUAAGCUUAAGAUGGUUAACAAAAGAGCUGCUGUAAUGGAAUUGUCAGCUGGUGUAUAGAAUAUUUGAAGAAAAUUAAGAAAAAUUGGGAGGAAGAAAUAUCCAUAUAUUAUUUAGCCGAAACAUGGUAUGAUACAUUUAUGCUAGAUGUAUGAUUUCCAUUCUCUGGGAAAAAGUCCCUUUUUUGCUAUAGUAAGAAAACCAUAUUUUUAUUAAAUAAACAAGUUUAAAAUUUUGUUUUUUACAGCUUACUGCCCCUGUUUGUCCUUCAGUGACACAAUAAAGACUGCUUCUUCCACCAUUCUCUGGAAAAUCUCUUUUUUGAUAUGCUUACUACCCCUGUUGUCCUUCAGCGACACAAUGAAGACUGCUUCUUCCUCCAUUCUCUGGAAAAAAGUCCCUUUUUUGCCAUACUUACUGCCCCUGUUUGUCCUUCAGCGACACAAUAAAGUAUAUAUAAUGUAAUGCUUUAGUAUCCAUAUGCUGAUGUGCGAGAUGAAGUUGGAAUCCAUGGCGGCAACAGAGAAACUGUUUCCUUCCUUAAUGGAAGAAACUGCUAAAGAACAAUGACAAAAAAACAGAAUUUAAAAAAUUGUAUUAACUUUUUGGGCCAGAUUCA